CAGUCGCCACGGGAAUACAGAGGAUGCAAGCGUUAUCCGGAAUGAUUGGGCGUAAAGCGUCUGUAGGUGGCUUUUCAAGUCCGCCGUCAAAUCCCAGGGCUCAACCCUGGAACUGCAUUUGAUACUGCUUUGCUUGAGGACUGGAGAGGAGAUCGGAAUUCACGGUGUAGCAGUGAAAUGCGUAGAUAUCGUGAGGAAGGCCAGUGGCGAAGGCGGAUCUCUGGACAGUUCCUGACGCUGAGGCACGAAGGCCAGGGGAGCAAACGGGAUUAGAUACCCGUGUAGUCCCUGUCUCUUAUAC
rnacentral:rRNA from 1 species